rnacentral:lncRNA from 10 species
CUCUGGGCAGUCUGAGGGGACGCUGUGCCACUCACUCCACUGUACUGCCUCUCAGCCGUUACUGGAAGGAAGGCCGUGAGAGUGAGUUGUCCAGGUUCUGGGUAUUUUGAACAAAGAGUUGAACAAAACACACUAACAAAGGAACGAAACACAUGAACGAAGCGGCACAAGCAGGGAUUCGUUAAAGCGGGAAAGCGCUCCACAGGGUGGGAGUGGGCCGGAGCAAACGGUUCAAGGGCCGGGUUACCAAGUUUUCUGGGUUUCAAGUACUCCUUUCGAGGUCCCUACCAGCUGCCCCUUAUCUGGAUGGAGGAUUUGGUUGGCUAAUGAAAGGCUGCGGUGAAUUGGCGCCCUGUGCAGAUGAAGGGAAGGUCCCUGCUUGGCCAGUCCAAGGCAGAGACUCUCCCUUUCCUUCUGAGAUGUGGUGGAAGGGGAGGGCUGUAGGGAGAGUAGCCGUUGAUCCUUUGUUACUCGGGUGUGGGGAAAUGGGGUUUUCCUUCUGGUUUAGCUUUAG